UUUCUUCCUGUAGUUCAGUGGAAUGAAUAAUGAACCUGGCAUCAGAGGACCUGGAUUCAAAUCCUGAACCACCUGUUUAUUAUCUGUGCAAUCUUGGGGCUAUUCUCUCUGGGAACUGCCCUAUCAAGGGCUUCAUGACCUCCCUCUUCAGGGACCACCACUACUAAAGAUCUGGAAAAGAAAGUUCUUGACAGGUUAGUCUUUGCUACCACCACAAGGUUCCAUGAUAGAAACACAAACGGUUUUAUCGAUGGAAAUGACAUGGACAGAGAUAUCUUACCAUCUUCCUAGACACCAUGUACCCACAGAAUCUGCCUAUCUGACUCGGAGCUGAAAUGUUUUUUUAUAUUGUCUUCUCCAAUUAGUAUGUUUGUUCCUUGAGAGCAGGAUCUCUUAAUUGUCUAUUUCUCUUCAGUCUUAGCACAAGGCUUCAAAAGUAAUGAAUAUUUUUCCCCCAUUCAUUCAUUCAUUCAUUCAUUCAUUCAUUCAUUCAUAGUCUUCUGCAAAGAAGAGAAGGAGAUAUAUUUCUAAUAUCAUGUCAAUAUUUAUUACUGACCCAAUUCGUGUAAUGUCUGAAAACAAAAUGGCAAGGCGGGUCUCUUCAACAAGUUCUUUGCAUUCACACUUUAACAACCAGCUUCCAAAAUGGGAGAGUGUUAGCAUUUGCUUUUGAUCAGGGGUGAUGAAUUAAUAUGAAUAUCAUAAUGCUGGCAGGUUUUGAGAAGCCUCCUUUGGUCUUCGUCCGUGUUCUCUUCUGUGAGUUUUAUUUGAUCUCAUUGCCAGUUUUCAUGUGAACCCGGUGAGGGUCAGAGCAGUGCUGCUUUUUGGCAGGGGACUUCGUGGUCCUAAGAGGCUUGUCGAAAGAGCCGUCAGGAGACUAUCGAACUGUAGAUACGAUGGCUUUGAGGACGUAUGAGAGUGAGAUAGGGGUGCACAAGAGGCUUUGCACAUCCCUCAACCUCAGAAACAAGAUAAGGAAACUGAUACCCUUGAAGAUGAAGCAGCUUCCCCAAGGUCACACAAGCAGGAAGUGUCACCAUUAGGACUUGAUCCCAGGCCAAAGGCAGAUGUACGUUCAUCCCUGAAGCUCAACCGAAAUGGCAAUCUUGUUCUGUGCUCAGUAAUUAAAUCAGGUCGUAUACCAGUAUGCCCACUCUGUCUUUCUGUCUAGCUGGUUCAGGAUUAAAAAUGGAUCUUUGUAUUAAAUCGUUAUGUAAAUAAUCUGAGUUGGACCAGUUGUCAGGCCACUGGAUUUAAUAGGACUCAGGAGUUGGAGGUAAGGUAGCGUAGUAGGAAGAGGGUGGGUUUGGGAGUCAGGAAUCUGGAGUGGAAUUUUGGCUGUGCUAUUUCCUGGCUACAUCAUCAUGAACAAAUCAAUAAUCGGGUAUAUAAAUAUGAAAAAAAAAUUCUUGCUGAGCCUGUUUCCUUAUCUGAAAAAAAUGCGUAAGGUCUGUCUUACAAAGAUGUGAGCAGUAAUUAAUAUCCCUUAAAAUAUCAUAAAAACAUGAACUAAUGAUGAUAGUAGUGGCAGUGGUGAUGAUGAUGAUGAUGAUGAUAGGCUAAUGCAUUGGAUAGACAGGUAGCAAGACCUGAGUCUGAAUUCAACUUCUGACACUUACUUACUCAGCUACAUGAUCUUGGGCAAGUCAUUUAACCUAUGUUUGUUUUAGUUUUUCUUAUCUGAAAAUGGGACUAGCACCUACCUCCCAGGGUUUUUGUGAUGAAGAAAAGGGAUAAUAUUUGUAAUGCACUUUUCCAACUCUAAAGCACUAUAUAAAUAAAUGUUAGGUGCUCUAAUUAUUGUUGCA
rnacentral:lncRNA from 1 species